CAUAUCAAUAAGCGGAGGAAAAGAAACUAACAAGGAUUCCCCUAGUAACUGCGAGUGAAGCGGGAAAAGCUCAAAUUUAAAAUCUGGCAGUCUUUGGCUGUCCGAGUUGUAAUCUAGAGAAGUGUUAUCCGCGCUGGACCGUGUACAAGUCUCCUGGAAUGGAGCGUCAUAGAGGGUGAGAAUCCCGUCUUUGACACGGACUACCAGGGCUUUGUGAUACACUCUCAAAGAGUCGAGUUGUUUGGGAAUGCAGCUCAAAAUGGGUGGUAAAUUCCAUCUAAAGCUAAAUAUUGGCGAGAGACCGAUAGCGAACAAGUACCGUGAGGGAAAGAUGAAAAGAACUUUGGAAAGAGAGUUAAACAGUACGUGAAAUUGCUGAAAGGGAAACGCUUGAAGUCAGUCGCGUUGUCCAGGGAUCAACCUUGCUUUUGCUUGGUGUACUUUCUGGUUAACGGGUCAGCAUCAAUUUUGACUGUUGGAAAAAGAUUAGGGGAAUGUGGCAUCUUUGGAUGUGUUAUAGCCCUUGGUUGUAUACAAUGGUUGGGAUUGAGGAACUCAGCACGCCGAAAGGCCGGGUUUUUAACCACGUACGUGCUUAGGAUGCUGGCAUAAUGGCUUUAAUCGACCCGUCUUGAAACACGGACCAAGGAGUCUAACAUGCCUGCGAGUGUUUGGGUGGAAAACUCGAGCGCGUAAUGAAAGUGAAAGUUGAGAUCCCUGUCAUGGGGAGCAUCGACACCCGGACCAGACCUUUUGUGACGGUUCCGCGGUAGAGCAUGUAUGUUGGGACCCGAAAGAUGGUGAACUAUGCCUGAAUAGGGUGAAGCCAGAGGAAACUCUGGUGGAGGCUCGUAGCGAUUCUGACGUGCAAAUCGAUCGUCAAAUUUGGGUAUAGGGGCGAAAGACUAAUCGAACCAUCUAGUAGCUGGUUCCUGCC
rnacentral:rRNA from 1 species